CAGCUUUGUGCCGUGCAAAUGUGAAUACUGCCAAAUAGCAGUGCUUAGGGUAAAAUGAACUGUUUUGCUCCAUUUUCUCCUCUCUGAACAAAUGAUUUUGAAACGACAGCUUUUUUUGGAGCUAUAAAACAUCAAGCAAUAACUCCCUGCGCUUUAGGCAAGUGAUUGGAAUAAAUACCUCUUGGCAACAGGUGCAAUGACUUAGGACUGAAAUUCAUUUACAUUCAGGAGAUAAUUCCUGAUAAACAGAUGCACUGCCACAGGAUGGAAGUUUGAACGACCAGCAUCUGAAUGCUAUUGCCGGCUUCUGCAUCAUUCCAGAGCUUUUUCAAUCUGAAGUCAACAUUCCUCAUCUUCCUGCUAAUUGCUUCAAGGCAAACUGUGCCAUGGAUGACACGGCCCCUGCUGUCUGCCGCCCAAAAAACCCAAAGUGCUUCCCGACUGCAAAGACCUUUCUGGUGCCUGGGCUGGGACUUCCAGCGCAACCUAAACAUUAACUCAAUCUCCAUGCAAUUCUCAAAAACAUCCCUGUGAGGCUCUCUUCAGCAAAAAACGAGUCAGGGCUUACCUGCUUUCUGCACCUUGUUGAAUGACUCAGCAAAGCCUGAAGUGAGCAGCAGCACCUCAGGCUUUUAAUGUAACACCGUCGACUGGCAAGGAUCUCAUUCAAAUUCUCCUAAACAGCUCUCAUCUCUCAUUCAACAGGGCAAGAACAUGCCUCUCCAAGCAGAAGAGAAAAGAGUGCUACAUUGACAGACAAGUACACCAAAGUCCUUCAAUCAUCUGGAACAACAACAGCCCAGACAGCAGCCAUGCACACAUCCCCACAUUAGUCCAUCAUGUCUCAAGCCUAUGGGAAAAGAGAGAGUUUGGUCUUCAGACCCAUUUAAUCUUUCACCUGCCUGCUGAGGCUGCCACAGGAGUGCUAAUUAAUGCUCAACGUGAAAACAGGCUUCUGCACUUUGAAACCGGCCACACUGAAAUGGGACAGAAACCAGUAAUUCCUUUAAUGAACGUCACCAAACCAAAGCUUGGUUCCUGGCAGCGUUUUAGCAAUGCCUACAUAAGGCAGAUGGAAACCAUGUGAUCUAAACAUGAAAGUCUAAAUAUCUAGUGUAAAAAUAUGUGUGUUGUUCAGUUCUCACUUAGAACCAAAUUUAUUCUCAUAUGUAUGCACCUUUCCCAUCCCUUUCAGUGGGAGCUCUAUGCAUGAGAGCAAAACUUUGCCCUCAUAUCUAAAAUUAUCCCAGUUUGAAACAGUAUUCAUCUGUCAAUGAUACUUCUUUUCUUUUGCCAGCCAGAUGUCUGUUCUCAGGCUGCAAGAAUCUCCUUCCUUUUUUCCUUCAGAUCAUACACGCUUGAUCCUAUGCCAGCUUGCAAAAAGCACUCUACCCUUUUCUUUCUUGCCGUUAAACACAUUGCAUCUUCAAAAUUUCUCAAGGCAAAUAAGUCCCAUGGUCUCUGUAAAUCCCCCUCACGGAGGUUAUCUCCAGUUUACCAACUGUGAACUCUGAGCACACCACCUGUCAGGAAGGAGAAGCUUCUGAAUCAGAAACAACCUCUGAAACAGGGAGGUAAGACACACAAAGGCUGGUGUCAGAAACGUUGUGUCAACAGGAUUUCCCAUUGAAUUAUUUCCUCUGCACAGGAUACUGGUAGCAGAAUAAAAAUAAAUAUUCUUUUAUUUUCUAUAAAAUCGUAUUUUGACAACAAUUUAUAUUUCCAGUUAUCUUAUUCAUUUUUGAUUGGAAACCCUGGGUUGAGGAGGGGCAGAGGAAGAGGAAGAAAGGGGAAUUUCCAUCAGCAGCAUUCAGGGUGAACAGCUGACAAAAGAAACAUGGGGGUUUUUGCCUCAUCUUUAAGAAACCCAAAGCCUUGUCACUUCAGCAGUUGAUAGAAACCAUGCAGAGGUGUACCAUUUCCUUGGGAAUAUGUGCACUGGUGAAAGUUAAAUCAUUCCAGCAGGUGACACACUGGGUGCCAAUAAAUAACCCUUGGUGUGCUGUGUGUAUCGCCUUCCUGAACGGGUUAUACCCUAACCUGUGUUAUGAAAGCAAAACAUUAGAUCUCACUAGAAUGUAGAAACUAGAUCCUGAUAAUUCUAGGUCAUUUUAAAGAAAAUCUUAUUCUAAAGUGCCAGAGUUUAAAAUACCAAAUACAGACCUAAUGCUAAAAAAAAAAUUAACACAGAUUUAAUUAAAAAUAUUGGAUGAUUUCUACCACAUUGUAAUAUUUGAGAUCACAGUUGUAAAAUUACAAAGGGGCAUUUACUUGUUUACAAACAGAAUUAUACAGACAUUAGAAAUGGAAUCAAGCAAAAAUGUAAGAGUUCAUAUACUCCCUUUUAUUUCAAUGAAAUGAUGGGGUGGAGUCAAUUGUCACAGUAUAAUUUACAGUGGAAAAAUUAUGUGGUUAAUUUUAAUGACGGCAAGCCACUUAAAGAGUGCUUAUGAGUAUGCAAAUAGCACAGCAAUCCCCCUCCUCAUUCAGUAUAGCUUCUGAAACAUUUCUGAGGACUCGAACCACCCAUGGAAACAUAAAGGCUCAAGAUCUUGCAGGCGAAAACUGUUAAACCAAAAUACACAGCCAUCACCUUUUGAAAACAAGAAGGGCAAUGUGAUGAACGUACUUUCAGGUAAAUGUGCCGUCACUUCAAAUAUUCCCACAAAUAGAUAUGAGACAAGAGUAGCAAGCAAUCUUGGAAAAUGCCUGUCAGAGCGAAAGGCUCUCUUUCUGACCUUACCUUCUCUGAAACAUUUGUGGAUUUCUGAAAGACUGUUAUAGAGCGGAGAGGUAUAUACCAUGCAUAGUUUUUACAACAUACUUUAAGUUCUGGCUCAUUCCAGGAAUUGUGGAAUAAUCCUAUGUUGAUACUUGACAGCAUGCUCUAAAUAAUAAAUUGCAUGAAGAAAGGAAAACUAUUUGUUUAUCAAUAAAAAGGUAAUUCAACAAGUCCUAAGGAAUAUACGCAGUUCUAACAUCUUUCUUGGGCAGCAGGGAGCAAGAAUGGCAACCGAGGUACCAUUUCCUGAGUAAAUAAAGGAAAUAUGCACCUCAGCAACCCUGUCAAACUGCUGUUAAUCACCUAUAAAGGAACUGCAUAUCCAUAUGCCUCACUGCAGAUGUGAAAGACAAGGGAGAUAAAGUGACAGGAUAGCUAAAUUCCACCUGGACUCAAAUUCAGGGCUUCUGAAUUUGGAUUCUGGUUUUUAAUCCUGGAAUUUGUGUCUCCCACCCCAGCUGUCGCAAUGUGGAUGUAAGCAUGCUCUCAGCUUUUAGCAAACUAGCUAAGGAGAGCUCAGAUGAAAGAAAUGAAAAAUCACAAUCCCCAAAAUCUCUCUCCGAGUACUAAGACAGAAAGUAAACAAUUUUCCAUAAUUAUGUCAUAAGAGUUCCAUAAUUAAUGCUAUUUACAUUAGAAAGUAACAAAAGGGAUGAAUACACACUGUAAAACAACACAGAAAGGAAAACUUUGCAUUUGCUAAUUACUUCUAUUUAGCAGCACAAAUCUAAUAGCUGAAAGACUGUGCUUCCAAAGUUGUUCAUUGAUCUUCAUACCACCAAUAAUAAAGGACUAGGAAAGCUCUGCACCAGACCGCAGAAAAAUCGUCAUUAGGUGCUCAAGUAUAAGCUCAAUAACUAGCAAAACAGAAGUACGGCACCGUUACUACAGACAUGGAAGGUAAUUUCCUCAGUAAUUAACGUAUUUUGCAUAGUGCUUCACUGUACCAGGUCACACCAUUCUUUUUUUAAAAAAAUCUUUCCCUGUGUGUCUAAAGCAAGUGUUUGAGGAGAAGGCAGCUGUGAAGUAUAAAAGAUCUGAUUGCUCCACUUUUUUCCACACCAACUAAACCAACACUUUCCUACCGAAAGCACCGUGUUCUCGUGAUACAUUAUUUAGGCGUACAAACAGACAGACGGUUUCUGCAAGUCAGAGGGGGGGACAGCUCCUGAUCUCACCGCCGGGCCGGCAGGGAGCAGCGGGGCUGCCCAGGAGCUGCGGGUCCCACCGGGCUGCCGCCUCCUUGCCACCCCACAGCAGCAAAGCCAGCCUUGCCCAGCCUGCUGCCAGCCUCUGCUCGAACCCACCGGGUCCCUGCGCUCAUCGAUCCGUUUACAUUGUUGUUUCUUCUACAGCGGUGAGUUUUAUUAAUCAAGAUAAUUUCCAGAGCGAGCUCAGAGCAUGAUCAAAGCAGUCGUUAUGGCAGCGUAAUUGAGGAGGGAGUUGUUAAUCUGCUGGGGAUGCCAAGGAGGGAAGGAAAAGGUUAGGGGUGUCCAAAGGAGGCAGGAAUGAGCAGGUGUUAGGGUAACUAUUUAAAUUAGGAAUCCUGACAUAAUCAUUUAUAAUGGAGGCUUUAGAUUCCCUGGAAGGCACUAAAGCUGGAUAUCCUAUCUACUCUACUCAGUAAGCAAGCUGCAUUUCUUUCGGCACAAACAGUAAUUUUAGUAAGUCUACACUGCCACAAAGCAAGCUGUGUUUAAUGAAACUGUUCUCUGCGACUUAUACUAUCCCAUGGUACUACUGCAGUGCCCUUUCCAUCUCUGCCACUGCUGAACCUGAAGUCCAGAUCUUUACCGGCUUUCAGCAAUGUAGGGCCCAUGCUAUCUUUAAUUACACAAUAAGGACAACGUUUGAACUCCAAAAUACCAAAGAACCCUAUUUUUCACAAUGGUUUUCACAUACACAAGCCUCUAGAAGAUUACAAGGAUACUUUAUGAAUCAAGUGCAAAAUACAGAAAUAGUAUUAUCUCUCACUGAAAUGCUGUCAUCUCUGAAGGAUGUGUUGAGAUCCAACAUUAUACAACUCUUCAUAGUAGUAAUUUCGUAAUAUUUUAUCUACUUGAAAAUAAUAGGGAAUUUUCAGUAAGCAAAAUCUUAAUUACCCCAAUUAAGUUCUCAUCCUGCAUCACUAAUGUCACUGGGAGCUUUGUCAUUAACCUCAAUGAGUGCAGGAUAGAUUCCUUAGAAUUUAACCUGGACACUCAAUAUUCUUGUUCUAAUGAAAAAUGCAUUAAUGAGCUUCAUUAGACUACUCCAUUUUAAAGAUGCAUCUUCAGCAGCCAGUUUCCCUCAACAGCCUAAUGGGGCACUGGUGCAUUUCUGAACUGGGACUCGACACAAGAGUGGCUAGGUCACUGCAAGUCUUUUUAUUGACUCAGCAAGCUCAAUGAGCUUCAUGCUUAGCCCACCAAGGGAUAAGCAACACCUCUUGACUCACUUCAGGAACUCCCCGAGGUAAAGAUGACAAAACGUGUAUAAAUUUUUUAAAUUAAAACUGGGGUGGUACAUCUGAAAGAGUACACGUAGUGAAAUAAACACAAUUAGAACUAAAAUUCUUCCCUAUAAUUAAAAAAUGACACAUUUUUUCUAUAUGGUCUGCAUGCAGGAUCCUCAACCCAUUUCAAUCACUACCUUUUUUCCAGUCAUCUACUGGGACACAUUAUGGGAAAACUAGUGAUCUUCUGUGACCUUCAUUUUAUUUUAUUAAAUGCAGCAGACACCUCGUGCUGAAUACGAAAUAAAAAAUAUGCAACCCAGUAAAGUACUUUAAGAAAAAAUGCCCUUUGGAGAACCCAGUUUCAGUCUUGAUAUAUAAUGACACAGAUUUGCCUAUGACAUUUGAAUAAAAAUCUCUGUUAUAUA